UGCCAGACUCCUACGGGAGGCAGCAGCGAGGAAUAUUGGUCAAUGGCCGGAAGGCUGAACCAGCCAAGUCGCGUGAGGGAAUAAGGCCCUAUGGGUCGUAAACCUCUUUUGUCAGGGAGCAAAGGCGUCCACGAGUGGACGAAAGGAGAGUACCUGAAGAAAAAGCAUCGGCUAACUCCGUGCCAGCAGCCGCGGUAAUACGGAGGAUGCGAGCGUUAUCCGGAUUUAUUGGGUUUAAAGGGUGCGUAGGCGGAGUGUCAAGUCAGCGGUAAAAUUUCGGGGCUCAACCCCGUCGUGCCGUUGAAACUGGCUGUCUUGAGAUGUCGAGAGGUAUGCGGAAUGCGCAGUGUAGCGGUGAAAUGCUUAGAUAUUGCGCAGAACUCCGAUUGCGAAGGCAGCAUACCGGCGGCGAUCUGACGCUGAGGCACGAAAGCGUGGGUAUCGAACAGGAUUAGAUACCCUAGUAU
rnacentral:rRNA from 1 species